AGUGGCGGCAGCUGUGACGGCGGCGGCUGUCAGACCUGGAGAGGGGCCAGGGCGGAGCGGCAACGGAGGGUCAGCGCUGGCUCCCGCUGGAGGCCAAUCCCAAGGUCACUGACCAGUUUCUCAAACAAUUAGGUCUACAUCCUAACUGGCAGUUUGUUGAUGUAUAUGGAAUGGAUCCUGAACUCCUUAGCAUGGUACCAAGACCAGUGUGUGCAGUGUUACUUCUCUUCCCUAUUACAGAAAAGUAUGAAAUAUUCAGAACAGAAGAGGAGGAAAAAAUAAAAUCUCAGGGACAAGAUGUUACAUCAUCAGUAUAUUUCAUGAAGCAAACAAUCAGCAAUGCCUGUGGAACAACUGGACUGAUCCAUGCUAUUGCCAACAAGAAAGACAAGAUGCACUUUGAAUCUGGAUCAACCUUGAAAAAAUUCCUUGAGGAGUCUGUGUCAAUGAGUCCUGAAGAACGAGCCAGAUACCUAGAGAACUAUGAUGCUAUUCGAGUCACCAUGAGACCAGUGCCCAUGAAGGUGAGACUGAGGCACCAAGUAUAGAUGAAAAAGUAGAUCUUCAUUUUAUUGCAUUAGUUCAUGUAGAGGGGCAUCUCUAUGAAUUAGAUGGACGGAAAGUUUCCAAUUAACCAUGGGGAAACUAGUGAUGAAACUUUAUUAAAGGAUGCCAUAGAAGUUUGCAAGAAGUUUAUGGAACGUGACCCUGAUGAAUUGAAAUUCAACACCAUUGCUCUAUCUGCAGCAUAGCUUGUCAGUGAUG